GGUUGGAAUUUCGGAAUUUUCGGAACUUGCGCUGACUUGGUGGUUUCCGGCGACUGUUGUUUUUUCCACGACGGAUCAACGGCGACGAUGGAGCGAUUUUGAGAGCAAACUCAUUUCCUAUUCCAAAGACACCCUUUUCCGCAAAGAAUUUUCAAAUCUUGAAAAUGGUGGUGAAAGGGCAGAAGGAGCAGAUCUCGACAAGAAAAAUGUACAGAAAAAAGGAGGUGGCAAAAGAAGACGUCGCUGCAAGAAGAAUGGCGAAAGAAGACGUCGCCUGCAAGAAGAAUUUUUAACGAAAAGAAAAAUAGAGAAAUGGCCUAGAGAAGAAGACGUGGGCGGCGGAUAG
rnacentral:lncRNA from 1 species